CGCCCAGCAGCUAGCCCCCCCAUCAACCCCAACCCCUCCCUAUUUAUAACCCCAAACACACUAUCCUAUCGAUAACAAACCAUUUUUCCACCUAAGUACGGGCGACGAAAAAGGACCUAAGAGCAACAGAGAAAGUACCGUAAGGGAAAGCUGAAAGAGUAGUGAAACAAUCCAGUAAAGCACUAAAAAGCAGAGACCGUCCCUCGUACCUUUUGCAUCAUGAUUUAGCCAGAAAACCUCAAGCAAAAAGCAUUAUGUUUGAUACCCCGAAACUAGGCGAGCUACUCCAAGGCAGUCUAAUUUAUAGGACCCCCCCGUCUCUGUGGCAAAAGAGUGGGAAGAACUUCGAGUAGAGGUGACAGACCUACCGAGCCUAGUUAUAGCUGGUUGCCUGAGAACUGAAUAAAAGUUCAGCCCUUUAAAUUCUUCAUUCCUAUUGGCCCAAGGCCUUCACACCGAACAAAAGAAAUUAAAAGAGUUAGUCAAAGGGGGUACAGCCCCUUUGAAACAAGGUACAACUUUCCAAGGAGGGUAAAAAUCACAACGAACUUAAAGGUUAAGUGUUCUAGUGGGCCUAAAAGCAGCCACCUAUCCAGAAAGCGUUAAAGCUCAAACAUUGCCCAACAGCCUUCUAAUAAAGACAACACAAUUUCACCCCCCUAAACCUACCAGGCCGUUCCAUAAAACUAUGGAAGCGUUUAUGCUAAUAUGAGUAAUAAGAGGACCCCCCCCCCUCC
rnacentral:rRNA from 1 species